AGUUUUGCAUACAUUGUAUAACAGCUUAUAACAGGAACUUAACAUAACAAAGAGGCAAGUCCAUAAAAAUAGGUUACAACAUCUUUAACAUUUUAUGGUCAAAAGCCAUUUUUUUUUUUACUGCGUAAUCAUUCCUACCGGAAGUGGCAUUUGGCUAAGCGGGCUAGCAUCGAUGCUAGCAUUAGCAAUGGCGGUGGUGACGUCGAGCCUCACCUGGCAACAAGCACCCUGAUGCUUCAUCAUCAUCAUCAUCCCAACAUUCCCACUCACUGUUUGUCAUCUUCAUCCAAAACUAAGCUCUUCUGAAAAGUGAGCGAGGCACAAUCGUCUGGAACUCCAUGCCUCUGAUCUCCCUUGGCGAGGGUUUUUUUGGACAGAACACACACGGGUCAGUUACAAAUUGUGUCAAAACACCCCAAAGGAAACAAUGACCAAAUAUGGAGGAGGGACAAAAGUAUUUUGAAUAAAAAAAAAACAUGCAGAACAAAGUACAUUUUUAUACGAACUGAGGAAAACAAUUUGUAUUAUAAAAACAGAGCACUAUGAUGAAAAUGGAAUUGUAUUUUUUGAGGAUAUACUGUAAAAAGUUUAAAUAUAUUGGUCAUUUUAAAAGGGUAAAUCCCAGUAUAGGCCGAAACGCAAAAAUCAAUAAAGGUAAUAUCGAAUAUUGAAAAAAAGCAUAAGCUAAAUAUAAAAUUGUAAUAAUCAUUGAAAAAAAUUACUGACUUUAUCCUGGUAAAAUGAUACAUUUCCUCACAAUAUUUUGUCUUAAUAAGUAUUCUCCGAUUUUAAUUUUGUAGUUAAAAAAAAAAAAAAAAAAAAAAAAAAUAUAA